rnacentral:rRNA from 1 species
CCUACGGGUGGCAGCAGUGAGGAAUAUUGGUCAAUGGACGAGAGUCUGAACCAGCCAAGUAGCGUGAAGGAUGACUGCCCUAUGGGUUGUAAACUUCUUUUAUAUGGGAAUAAAAUGAUCCACGUGUGGCAUUUUGUGUGUACUAUAUGAAUAAGGAUCGGCUAACUCCGUGCCAGCAGCCGCGGUAAUACGGAGGAUGCGAGCGUUAUCCGGAUUUAUUGGGUUUAAAGGGAGCGUAGGUGGAUUGUUAAGUCAGUUGUGAAAGUGUGCGGCUCAACCGUAAAAGUGCAGUUGAAACUGGCAGUCUUGAGUACAGUAGAGGUGGGCGGAAUUCGUGGUGUAGCGGUGAAAUGCUUAGAUAUUACGAAGAACUCCGAUUGCGAAGGCAGUUCACUGGACUGCAACUGACACUGAGGCUCGAAAGUGUGGGUAUCAAACAGGAUUAGAUACCCUGGUAGUC